CGGUAAACAGUUUGAUUACAAAUAAUGAAAAUUUGAUCGAAAAGUAAGUCGGUGCUCGAGCGUUGGCCGGAAAAGUACAAGUUGGCGAGAAUACAAAAGAAUAAAAUUAUAAUUCUAGCCGCCGAGUGUGUAUGUGUAUCUUUGUAUCCUCUUGUUCUUCUUUCCUCUCUCUUAUAUAGUUGUUCCUUCGUUCUCAGCUUUAGGUCGGUCCGACCUAAUGGGCCCACUAUGGUUAGGCUGAGCGUUGGGGUCGACUGAUCUCUCCAUGGGCCAGGCCUAGCACGCUUCUUCAGGACGCCAAGCGGAAAGCUGAGCUUUAGUCGGGAGCCCGCCGACUUGAUCCGGCUUCUCGGGCCAGCUUGACGGUUCAAAUAUCCUAUUUGAUGGGCCUUGUGGAGGGAUGAAAUAAUCCAUCUCGUACAUCAUCUUCUAGUCAUCCAACCUAUGUUCAAGUAAUUUAAUUUGAAAAAUCUGAAGCAGAACACGACUUCUAUACCGCCGUUUCCAAGAGAUCCAAAGGCGAGAAGAGCAUUUUCUUUAGCCAGUAGUAUUGUUAGUGAAUCUUUUGGAGAUUCCACUGACAAGAAGAGGAGUUGAGUUUUUAGAUUUGAUGAAAAGCUGGCAGGCGUUGAAAGAGGUCAAUGAAACCAAAUACAAAACAGAGAACUUUAUGUCUCCUAAAGCUAGAGGAGUUUAGUCUGAGUUUAACCGCUGCUUCAAACGUCUUC